CACGGGAGGCAGCAGUGGGGAAUUUUGGACAAUGGGCGAAAGCCUGAUCCAGCAAUGCCGCGUGAGUGAAGAAGGCCUUCGGGUUGUAAAGCUCUUUUGUCAGGGAAGAAACGGUGAGAGCUAAUAUCUCUUGCUAAUGACGGUACCUGAAGAAUAAGCACCGGCUAACUACGUGCCAGCAGCCGCGGUAAUACGUAGGGUGCAAGCGUUAAUCGGAAUUACUGGGCGUAAAGCGUGCGCAGGCGGUUUUGUAAGUCUGAUGUGAAAUCCCCGGGCUCAACCUGGGAAUUGCAUG
rnacentral:rRNA from 1 species